rnacentral:rRNA from 1 species
GAUGAACGCUAGCUACAGGCUUAACACAUGCAAGUCGAGGGGAAACGACAUCGAAAGCUUGCUUUUGAUGGGCGUCGACCGGCGCACGGGUGAGUAACGCGUAUCCAACCUGCCCACCACUUGGGGAUAACCUUGCGAAAGUAAGACUAAUACCCAAUGACGUCUCUAGAAGGCAUCUGAAAGAGAUUAAAGAUUUAUCGGUGAUGGAUGGGGAUGCGUCUGAUUAGCUUGUUGGCGGGGUAACGGCCCACCAAGGCGACGAUCAGUAGGGGUUCUGAGAGGAAGGUCCCCCACAUUGGAACUGAGACACGGUCCAAACUCCUACGGGAGGCAGCAGUGAGGAAUAUUGGUCAAUGGGCGAGAGCCUGAACCAGCCAAGUAGCGUGCAGGAUGACAGCCCUAUGGGUUGUAAACUGCUUUUAUAAGGGAAUAAAGUGAGUCUCGUGAGACUUUUUGCAUGUACCUUAUGAAUAAGGACCGGCUAAUUCCGUGCCAGCCGCCGCAGUAA